UCGUGCGUAAAAUUUAGUAAAACUCCUAAAGCUGCCCGGUCUUGAGUAUAGAUUGCGGGUGAGCACGGCACCUGCCUUCGAGGACCCCCGUCACCGCAGAAGGGAACCGGGCGAGACGCUGAGACCGCGGAGGGGUCGCGUGGCCCAACACGCAGGAGCCAGAGCAGGGAAGGGAGCGCAGAUAACUCUCUGAAAGAAGCCAACUGCUAUGUCAUGAGGACACUCAAAUGGCCUUGUGGAGAGGCCCCUGUGGUGAGAAACUGAAACUUUUUGCCAACUACCAGAGAGAAGCUGAGGCCUCCUGCCAAUAGCUACGUAAGUGCGCCAUCUUGGAAGCAGAUCCUCCAUCUUCAGCCAAGCCUUCAGAUAACUGCAAUCCCAUCUGACAGUUUAACUGCAAUCUCAUAGGAGAUCCUAAGCUUCUCCUGGAUUCCUGAACCUCAGAAGCAAUGUGAGAUAUUAAAUGUAUCUGGUUUCGAGCUACUAAAUUAUUGGUUACAACAGAUAAUUAAAAAUCCAAGUAACCAAUUCUUUACAUUAAAGUUCUCCAUUUGAAAUAUAUAUCAUGGUUUAUUGCUGGAUCUUGAUUGGUAGAAGACUUGGCAGCAUGAGUGGACCCAGGAAACUGACCCUCAAAGAUAGGACUCUGCAACUGAGUUGCUUACCUCUUCGACUCUGAACACAGUGAUAACUUUCUUGCCAACGACAAUUGGGAUGCUGGUAAUCUGUAACAGGCAACAGAGCAAAAUGACUUAAAUUAUUCCCUGUGGCUGGUUGGGAUGAAUUAUCUAUGGAAGGUAAGACUUUAAGUAACAAAGUUGCUGAAGUACGUGACAGUUAUGGUAAUAAGAACUGGGAAUGAGCUUUCUCUGACAUCAAGUCAUAGAAAACCAGAAAGCAUCUUCAGUAGUUAUGAAAGAACCUCUUAUUUCUUGGAGACAUAAGACAGGUAUGACUAAUCAAAAUAUUUUUGUGAGUUGCAUAAUUACAAUAUAAGAUGAAUUUACAGAGUUUCUUAUGUAAAAGUUUAGGAAUUGUUUGGAAGAAAUGGAUGCUUGAACUUGGAAGGAAGAAAUUUUGUUCAGCUUAGACAAAGUUGAGUAUUUUUAAUCUAAUAUCUCUGAGCCACUUGCCAGCAGAAGCAGCUUCUUAUGUUUUAAGGAGAGUAGCCUUACUCGAAGACCCUAUAAACUCCUGCCUUCAAAAAGAAUGUUUAUUCUCCUCAGCAUCAUUCACUGCCUCAAAACCUGCAAAUAGGGUUGUAUCUCAACACACCCCAGGGAGGCAAGUGCCAAAACAUGCUUGGGAGAAGAGAGUUUAUAUUCCAAAAGAACAGCAAGAUUUUGGAAGUAUACAUUGGCAGAAACUUGGAGAAUAGAUAUGGGAGUACUCUCAAUGGAUAUUAGACCAAAAAUCUAAUACAACAUUGGAUUAAAACAAAUAUAUUAUUAUGAUUUAACUUAACAGAGAAUUAUGUAACUAUGAGAAGUUUCAAGAGUUUGCUUGGAUGAUUACUAAAACAUGGACACCAACGUGACCUAAUUCAAUCAGGAUGAAAUGCCGGAACUUCCUUGGCAUAAAAUAGGAGACAAAACCAAAAGGCUUAGAAAGAUAGGAAUGUUGGAGUAAACCUGAAUAUCCAUACAAAUAAUUCCCUUGAGAGUCCAGAGUGCUCUCUCUUCAAUAAAACACUGAGAAAUACAUUAACAAUGGGGUCACUAUAUGCUUAGAAGAGCUCUAUGGUGGAUGGCUGUCUUUUAUAAGCGAGGGAUGAUGAUGAGAAAUGCCACCACUGAAAUGAGUUUCCUGAUUUUAAAAUAGACAGUGAAAUUCUGGAAUAUUAGGGGCCAACUUAACCUCUAAAGACAAAGUAUGCAUAAUUACCACAAUCAGUUAUGUCUGACCUGCAGGUAUCUGCUAUAAGGCUAACCUGAUCACAGUGUUUCAUGAAACAAAUAGGCAGCCUAAUAAAUAAUUAUAUAUGUAUGCAACUGUAAUUAAAAAAUUCUAGGCCAAGAGGACAGAAAUCUGACUUGGAUCACCACAACAGUGGAGCACAUCUUCUUACCCUUGCAGCCUUAAGCAAACUCCUAGGCUCAGAGUGCAGGGGGCUCAUUCAGCAUCACCACAAUAUAUUCUGAAAUAUUUUCUAAGCCUUCUAUAAGGUGCUUAUAUAAAUAGGGUGAUCAUGUUCUGGAAAAGGAAAACAUCCAGGCCUAAUUUGAGAUUACUAGAUGCUAGCUCCUCUGAGGUUAUAAUGCCACCAUGGCCCACCAGACAAUGUGGGACUUAUGGAGGUCAAUUGAUAAAGUGGAUUUUUGGGCCUCUAGCUAUAUCCUCAGAUCUUGCAUAUAUAAUUUGAAUAGUCAUGCUUAGAAACUUACAGAAUCACUGUACGACACUUCUUACCUCUGGAGGUAGGGUUGUUAUGUUAGAGCCAUGAUGAGGUCAUGGCUCUAAAGCUUCCUCUCUCAACCAGAGUGGUAAGCCACAACUGACCCCUGGUGGAAGUACAGAGAUCAUUGGCUUCAUCAAAAAUUUGAAGAACAAAAGGAUGAUAUCUCAUAUCACCUUCCAGUGUAAUUCUCUUUUUUGGCCUAUGCAAAAGACAGAUGGAUCGUGAGUUGUUAUAAAGCUAUGCAGGUCAUUAUUCCCAUUGCAGCAGUUACUCCAGACAUAGAAUUUUUAAAGGGGCAAAUUAGUACAACCUCUAGAUCCUGGUAUGCAGCUAUUGAUUUGACAAAUGCCUUUUUGUCUAUAACAAAUUGCAAAUCCCACCAGAAGCAGGGACAGCAACACAUCUUCACACUCUUGCUUCAGGGCUAAAUCAACUGUUCCAUUGCCUGACAAAAUCUAACACCCCAAAAUCUUGAUCAUCUUGGAAUUUCAUGGAAUAUCGUGUCAAACAUCUGAUGACAUCAUGCUUACUGAGCCUUAUGAACAGGAACUAGUAGGAACUUUAAAUGCCUUAGUAGCAUGCAUUCCAGAAAGUGGGAAGUAUACCCAAGUUUUUAGGGACCUGCAACUUAAUGGUGUUUUUUAGAUACCCAGCCUGCCUGCUGGUACCAUUGACUAUUGGAUAAUCCAUCAAACAGAAGGUCCAAAACAGAUGAUGCCAAGUGAUUUCAAUUAUUAAAGGCUUCAUCCUGUUAAAAUUCAUAUAUCACAAAUCUGCAUGUUUUGAGUAUCUUCUGUAUGCAAAGUGAGCAAGUAGUUCCUUCCAAAUAUCAAACAGUUGCUGAGAUACGGUAGUUCAAGGACCUGGACUAUGCAUGAUGUGACCUCAUGCUGUAAUCUGUGGGAUUAAGGAGGAAGAUUAGAAUGGUACGUCUGGUACAAGGGGACUGUACCAUCCAUGUGAGCCAACAGUCCAGACAGUGAGGUCCUGCCACAACUACUACAUCCUCACUCUCUCUCACUGCUAAUUAAUCUAAUUAAUCCCAACACCCUCUCCUACUGAACUUGGACUCAGUCUCAGAAUCCUUCCAAACACAGCAUCACAAAUAAUCUUCACCAAUCCAUUGUAGAAAUAAAUCUUUCUGUCAAAACAGAGGGAAUCCAGGCAUAAGGCCGCUAGCUAGCUAGAAAUCAUAAAAACUGAAUGAGGGGAAGCAGGAGAAAAGUGAAGAGUAGGAAGUGAAAUCUAAAUGUAUCUGGGUGAAAAAGGAAAAGAUCCAUAGUAUCCAGAGUAGGCAGGGGAAGAACUAUCACAGAUAUCUGUUAGCUCUAAUAGUGAAUACAGAGAAUUCCUUCUGAAGAAAGCUCAUCGGCCUAACACUAAAGUGCUUCUGGGAUAGAGGAACCAUAUUCUGAAGAAGCUAUGUGGGAGUUAUACAUCAGUUUGCCUAAUGCUACAGGGGCAAAGGGGCUGUCUACAAGCACCCACUCUGCGACGCAGAACUGGGAGUUCACAGACAUCUAAGGACAAACACUGGAAAUAUUUCUACUAUUCUGAAAACGAAACAGAACAUAGUAGUAUUUAAUAUCCAUCUACUUCACAGAGCCAUAGUAAGUUUCUAUAUUAAGAAAACACAGCUUGCAAGCAAGUUGAGCAAGACCCUCAGAGCAAAGCGACAGAUAAAUGGAACAAUAUUAUUAGAACAGAUUAUUAGUUUCUUUUGCUAAAGAGCCCCAAAACUGAGAAAGUUGUCGUCCAUGGCUUUUUGCUAAUCAUAUCCCCCAAAGGAACAAGCAGCAAACUUUUCACAUUAGAGGAUCUCAAUAAACGUGUUGAAUUAAAUUGGAA